CCCGAGUAACUGGGAUCACAGGCAUGUGCCACUAUGCCCAGCUAAUUUCUUUUUUUGUAUUUUUAGUAGAGACAGGGUUUCACCAUGUUGGCCAGGCUGGUCUGGAGCUCCUGACCUCAGGUGAUUCGUCCACCCCAGCCUCCCAGACGGCUGGGAUUAUAGGUGUGAGCCACCAUGCCCCGCCCAAAGGGAGAAUGUUCUAAUGCAGCCCUGUGGGAUGACUUGGCUGCAGGAAGUUACAUAAAGGUGACUUAGGUGUUACAGUGACAUGAGAGACCUAAAGGCUGUCAAAGACUGUGACCUCUACCCCAUGGAGGAUGCCCAUCGCCUGAGGAUGAACCCCCACUCCAGAUCAAAAUAUAAAGGAGCAGGGUUGCAGCUCACCUGGGCUGGGGAUUACCCGGACUCUUCAGAAAACAAAACUUACACUUUGUCAUGGAGCAGCUAGAAAUUCACCUCAACAUACUCAAUAAUUCAGCAUGUUUGAGCACAUAUUCCAUGCCAGGCACAGUGCUGGAACAGGGACAGCUGGAACAAAGUGGGAGACCCUCUAGCCACCAGGAUCCCAGAGAAGAAGCGAAGUGACUUGCCUAGAACACCAACCAAAAAUGACGGAGCCAAAAGGGCCAGAGCUGGGUCAAGGAGGAAGGAGGAGAAGGAAGAGCAUCCUUUAGCCGCCCUCUGACUCUGCCUUUUCGGGUCUCGCUCCUGGCCUCACUGUAGACAUCAUCCCCAGGCACACCUCCUCCGCACCUCCUUCCUGCUAUAGAGUACAGUCCCACAGUUGGAAUCAUCUCUCCUCAUCCCAGUUACAAAGCCAGAGAGGAUUUACAGUCAAAGCAUCUACACCAGCAGUCCCUCUUACUGACACUGAUCAGACAGGGAGGUAGAACUGAUGGAAAACACAGCACAGCAUCAGAAGCAUAGCUUGGGAGCUUAUUAGCAGCAAAGUGCUGUUCUCUGCGGCAUUUUCUGGUGCUCCAGAAAUACAUCCCCUUGGAUGGAGAUACUACCGGGCCAUCUAAUGUGAAAUUUUCUGCUGGAGUGGUUAACGCUGGAGAUUUCCUUGAAAAACAUCGCCACUGAGAGAGGCUGGCUUCAAGUUUCAUAUAUAUGUAUAUGUAUCUGUGUGUGUGUGUGUGUAUGUGUGUGUCCAUGUGUGUGUAUAUAUAUUUUUAUAUAUAAAUACAUGUGUAUUUAUAUAUAUAAAUAAAUUUAUAAUGUAAUAUAUAAAUAUUUAUAUAUAAAUAA
rnacentral:lncRNA from 10 species